rnacentral:rRNA from 1 species
AUGAUAAUGACGGUACCUGGUAAAGAAACCCCGGCUAACUCCGUGCCAGCAGCCGCGGUAAUACGGAGGGGGUUAGCGUUGUUCGGAAUUACUGGGCGUAAAGCGUACGUAGGCGGAUUAGAAAGUUGGGGGUGAAAUCCCGGGGCUCAACCCCGGAACUGCCUCCGAAACUCCUGGUCUUGAGUUCGAGAGAGGUGAGUGGAAUUCCGAGUGUAGAGGUGAAAUUCGUAGAUAUUUGGAGGAACACCAGUGGCGAAGGCGGCUCACUGGCUCGAUACUGACGCUGAGGUACGAAAGUGUGGGGAGCAAACAGGAUUAGAUACCCUGGUAGUCCACACCGUAAACGAUGAAUGCCAGUCGUCGGGUAGCAUACUGUUCGGUGACACACCUAACGGAUUAAGCAUUCCGCCUGGGGAGUACGGUCGCAAGAUUAAAACUC